rnacentral:rRNA from 1 species
GAUGAACGCUGGCGGCGUGCCUAAUACAUGCAAGUCGAGCGAACAGACGAGGAGCUUGCUCCUCUGACGUUAGCGGCGGACGGGUGAGUAACACGUGGAUAACCCACCUAUAAGACUGGGAUCACUUCGGGAAACCGGCGAUAAUACCGGAUAAUAUAUUGCACCGCAUGGUUCAAUAGUGAAAGACGGUUUUGCUGUCUCUUAUCGAUGGAUCCGCGCCGCAUUAGCUAGUUGGUAAGGUAACGGCUUAUCAAGGGAACUAUGCGUAGCCGACCUGAGAGGGUGAUCGGCCACACUAGAACUGAGACACGGUCCAGACUCCUACGGGAGGCAGCAGUAGGGAAUCGUCCGCAGUGGGCGAAAGCUUGACGGAGCGACGCCGCGUGAGUGAUGAAAGUCUUCGGAUCGUGAAACUCUGUUAUUAGGGAAGAACAAAUGUGUAAGUAACUAUGCACGUCUUGACGGUACCUAAUCAGAAAGCCACGGCUAACUACGUG